rnacentral:rRNA from 1 species
UGAGUAACGCGUAGGUAACCUGCCUUGUAGCGGGGGAUAACUAUUGGAAACGAUAGCUAAUACCGCAUAACAAUGGAUGACCCAUGUCAUUUAUUUGAAAAGGGGCAAAUGCUCCACUACAAGAUGGACCUGCGUUGUAUUAGCUAGUAGGUGAGGUAACGGCUCACCUAGGCGACGAUACAUAGCCGACCUGAGAGGGUGAUCGGCCACAUUGGGACUGAGACACGGCCCAAACUCCUACGGGAGGCAGCAUG